rnacentral:tRNA from 1 species
ACUAUAGCUCAGUUGGUAGAGCAACAGAUUCGUAACCUGUAGGUCGGCGGUUCGAUUCCGCCUAGU